CUGCUGAGGUUUUGACCAUACAAGGGGU
rnacentral:piRNA from 1 species